GACGAACGCUGGCGGCGUGCUUAACACAUGCAAGUCGAACGGAAAGGCCCUGCUUUUGUGGGGUGCUCGAGUGGCGAACGGGUGAGUAACACGUGAGUAACCUGCCCUUGACUUUGGGAUAACUUCAGGAAACUGGGGCUAAUACCGGAUAGGAGCUCCUGCUGCAUGGUGGGGGUUGGAAAGUUUCGGCGGUUGGGGAUGGACUCGCGGCUUAUCAGCUUGUUGGUGGGGUAGUGGCUUACCAAGGCUUUGACGGGUAGCCGGCCUGAGGGGGUGACCGGCCACAUUGGGACUGAGAUACGGCCCAGACUCCUACGGGAGGCAGCAGUGGGGAAUAUUGCACAAUGGGCGGAAGCCUGAUGCAGCAACGCCGCGUGCGGGAUGCCGGCCUUCGGGUUGUAAACCGCUUUCGCCUGUGACGAAGCGUGAGUGACGGUAAUGGGUAAAGAAGCACCGGCUAACUACG
rnacentral:rRNA from 1 species